CAGUUGGACAGCAAAGGAUCGUGGGAAUGAAGAGUUUGAUGACUUCAUGCACGAGAGCAGCAAAAUCUGCAGGCCACAAACAUGACAAACUGUCUUUGAGCACAUCCUGAACAGGAUAUGUGGAGAUGCUGUGGACGAUCAACAUGAUCUUCAUCCUCAGCAUCCAGCUCAAAAAACCUCCAUUCUUAUAUGAACCACCCAUCAUCACAUUUACCAUGGGUUUGUCUGAUCAUGAACAGUGUGAAUCCCUCCAUGUGCGGAUCAUAAUGUGUGCUGAGAGCUGAAUAUGGGUCAGAAAUCUGCCAGCGGUUCACAGCGCAGGUGAAGCUGAGGUCACGGGUGAUUAUGGGACAUUUGGAGGCUUACAUUCAAAGCGCUUGUUCAAAUCCACACAAAUCACUCACAAGCUCCUCUGAAUAUCAGACAUACAGAUGUAAUCAACUCCUGCGCUGCUCUUCAUUCUUAAAGGGACAGCGCACACAACAAUGGCCAGGAUGCUUUCCAUUGACAACAUAAAUAUGUUGAUUAAAAUUAUACGUGAUUCUUAGUAGUUUUGUUUG